rnacentral:tRNA from 1 species
GCCCUAGUAGCGCAGUUGGUUAGCGCGUCAGUCUCAUAAUCUGAAGGCCGUGAGUUCGAGUCUCACCUGGGGCA